UGGCCUUCAACUCCCGCGUCGCCCAUCCACACGUGCCCGUCUCGCCGCCAGUAGAUCCGGCGGCAGCCGCGGAGCUAGUCGAGCAGUCCCUGGACGGAACAGAAUUAAUGCGCGCCGUUCCUGGCCGUGGGCAGGCCGCCGCGGUGAAGGCCAACUCCGGCCUCCCCGUGCCACCUCCCCCUUCGGCAGAGUCAUUCGGUUCAACCCUGGCCAGCAGCCCUUCCUGUUCGGUCUCCGGACGAAGUUCAAUGGUGGCGUUGAUUCCCUAACUUGCCAAUCUCACAGAACCAUUCAGGGCCGCUGUUGAAUCACCAUGUCCACAGAACAAUUUCUACCGGGUGAGAAUGCUGGGAACACGACGGACAGUGCGGUAUGUAGCACUCUUAUACUCUGAAGUCUCGAAUUUGUUUGCUACAUGAUCAAACAAAUUAUGUAAUUUACAGUAU